UGGGGAAUAUUGGACAAUGGGCGCAAGCCUGAUCCAGCGAUGCCGCGUGUGUGAAGAAGGCCUUCGGGUUGUAAAGCACUUUUAUCGGGAGCGAAAAGCGGCCGGUUAAUACCUGGCCGUGCUGACGGUACCCGAGGAAUAAGCACCGGCUAACUUCGUG
rnacentral:rRNA from 1 species